GGGAAUCUUCCACAAUGGGCGAAAGCCUGAUGGAGCAACGCUGCGUGGGUGAAGAAGGACUUCGGAUCGUAAAACCCUGUUGUUAGAGAAGAAAGUGCGUGAGAGUAACUGUUCACGUUUCGACGGUAUCUAACCAGAAAGCCACGGCUAACUACGUGCCAGCAGCCGCGGUAAUACGUAGGUGGCAAGCGUUAUCCGGAUUUAUUGGGCGUAAAGAGAACGCAGGCGGUCUUUUAAGGCUGAUGUGAAAGCCCCCGGCUCAACCGGGGAGGGUCAUUGGAAACUGGGAGACUUGAGUGCAGAAGAGGAGAGUGGAAUUCCAUGUGUAGCGGUGAAAUGCGUAGAUAUAUGGAAGAACACCAGUGGCGAAAGCGGCUCUCUGGUCUGUAACUGACGCUGAGGUUCGAAAGCGUGGGUAGCA
rnacentral:rRNA from 1 species